rnacentral:tRNA from 1 species
ACGGGAUUAGCUCAGUUGGUAGAGCACCGGUCUCCAAAACCGGGUGUCGGGAGUUCGAGUCUCUCAUCCCGUG